GACGCUGUUCUGCCAUUUCAUGCUUGUAGGCAAUAUCUUGACUGGGGCGGUCUCCUCCUAAAGAGUAACGGAGGAGCACGAAGGUUGGCUAAUCCUGGUCGGACAUCAGGAGGUUAGUGCAAUGGCAUAAGCCAGCUUGACUGCGAGCGUGACGGCGCGAGCAG
rnacentral:rRNA from 1 species